UUAGAGUUUGNUCCUGGCUCAGAUUGAACGCUGGCGGCAUGCCUUACACAUGCAAGUCGAACGGCAGCACGGGGGCAACCCUGGUGGCGAGUGGCGAACGGGUGAGUAACAUAUCGGAACGUGCCCUGGAGUGGGGGAUAACUAGUCGAAAGAUUAGCUAAUACCGCAUACGAUCUACGGAUGAAAGUGGGGGAUCGCAAGACCUCAUGCUCGUGGAGCGGCCGAUAUCUGAUUAGCUAGUUGGUGGGGUAAAGGCCUACCAAGGCAUCGAUCAGUAGCUGGUCUGAGAGGACGACCAGCCACACUGGGACUGAGACACGGCCCAGACUCCUACGGGAGGCAGCAGUGGGGAAUUUUGGACAAUGGGCGCAAGCCUGAUCCAGCAAUGCCGCGUGAGUGAAGAAGGCCUUCGGGUUGUAAAGCUCUUUUGUCAGGGAAGAAACGGUGGAGGUUAAUACCUUCUGCUAAUGACGGUACCUGAAGAAUAAGCACCGGCUAACUACGUGCCAGCAGCCGCGGUAAUACGUAGGGUGCAAGCGUUAAUCGGAAUUACUGGGCGUAAAGCGUGCGCAGGCGGUUGUGCAAGACAGAUGUGAAAUU
rnacentral:rRNA from 1 species